UUCACUGGAUACAUUGGUGCCUUACACUGU
rnacentral:piRNA from 1 species